CAUCAGACUUGAAUGUGUGAUCCAGAGUUCAGCGCUGUCAGAUAGAAACCUCAGCAGCACUGCCAGGAGGGCUGCCCCAGAGUAGAAGGUGGUCAUUGAGGCUCUGUACCUGGAACAGGUGUUCAUAGCUCCAAGCUCGAAUUUGACAACAUGGACGUCCCUUUUUACUCUCUGAAUCUCUGCUGUGUAGGUGAGAACCUGCAUUGAUGACUUCAGCAACGGAAGUACUGCCUCCUUAGGUGCAGACAGCAUAGGCAUAUUAGGAGCCCAGGUACUGCAGGGGCUGGCAGGAGGACUUUUUAACAAGUAACAGUAGUAAUUUGGUUUUUGUCAAAGCCACAGAGAGCCACUGGAGUCGGAUUAAAGAGCCACAUGAUCCAGAUAAAGAUUCAGUGUCAGGUCUGACGGUGCCCCGGCCGGCGACCUGUGUGUGUUUGUUCUCUCUCUCUCGCUCUGUUUCUCUCUCCGGCUCCGCUGCGAUUGUUACGCGGUUGCGUAGCAACGGGAGAUCUCCGACCCGGAAGUGCUGCCACUCUGAGCUGUCCCACCUGCGACUGAUUCCUCGCCAGCUGCUGCCAGUCAUCCACCAUCGUUGGCAGAGCUAUUUAAUGGUGUGGCUGAGUGACAGACAGCGCUGGAGUAUUGCACCAAGCCUGGAAACGAACGAGACGGAGAGACGGAAGGAGAGACGUCACUAAAUCACGAGAGUUGUGUGGACACACGAGGGGAGCACUGAAGGGACUUUGCACUGUGGAUAACUGUGGAUUGGCUUCACUGUAAAUAAAGACACUGUUCAACUUUAA